rnacentral:rRNA from 1 species
GACGAACGCUGGCGGCGUGCCUAAUACAUGCAAGUAGAACGCACAGUUUAUACCGUAGCUUGCUACACCAUAGACUGUGAGUUGCGAACGGGUGAGUAACGCGUAGGUAACCUGCCUGGUAGCGGGGGAUAACUAUUGGAAACGAUAGCUAAUACCGCAUAAUAUUGAUUAUUGCAUGAUAAUUGAUUGAAAGAUGCUAUUGCAUCACUACCAGAUGGACCUGCGUUGUAUUAGCUAGUAGGUGAGGUAACGGCUCACCUAGGCGACGAUACAUAGCCGACCUGAGAGGGUGAUCGCCCACCCUGGGACUGAGACACGGCCCAGACUCCUACGGGAGGCAGCAGUAGGGAAUCUUCGGCAAUGGACGAAAGUCUGACCGAGCAACGCCGCGUGAGUGAAGAAGGUUUUCGGAUCGUAAAGCUCUGUUGUAAGAGAAGAACGGGUGUGAGAGUGGAAAGUUCACACUGUGACGGUAUCUUACCAGAAAGGGACGGCUAACUACGUG